CUUAGCUGUUCCCUAGCCUUCUUCCAAGCCCCAUGUGUUUGCUUAGUUAACACACUAAACUUUUUUUUUCUUUUUUUUUUUUUUUACUACUGCCAGCAUUGCAAAGUCAAAAUAGCUGUGGAGGAACAAGUUGUUCUGCCUCAUGUCUCAUCAACAUUCCUUGCUCAGUGUAUCAAAACACAGAGUGCAUACAGAGCAAAUGCAACAACUCUUCAAAAAGUUCCCUGUUGGGGAUUUUCUUCUCGGGAAACCAUCCACAACUGCCUACUUAAAACAUCAAAAGAAAGGUUUCUGAAGGCCUGUACUCAGCACUACCUGUGGCCACAUUGUGGAAGGAAAAGCUGAGACCCAGCUGGACUAGGUGAGCCUGAUGAAUGGUGGCCUGCCAAGGAACCAGUCAGAUUUCACCAGCUAUUUAUCUCCCCAAGCUCAAACAAUCACCCUGGGCCCUCCAAAAGAGGAAAAAUGAGCCAGAGAUGAGGUAGAGGGAAGUUCAAAGUGAAGCACAGGGAAGGGGAAGAGCUAUUUAUCCAUCUUUUUUGCCUUUCAAAAAACAUUCUUUGUUUCAGCUUUUCUGCAGAAAAUAGAACAGCAAAUUAUAUUUUGCUAUGAUAAAGAGAAAGGCAAGGCUGCAAAGCCAUUGAAACAUUAUGUGAAUUUAAUUACUAAGUUUUGUACUUUUAAAACUCUAAAUUUUUAGUGGCUGGAUUACUCACAUUCAGGAAUUUCAAUUCAUGUAUAGAUAAUAUGUGUAUUUUUUAAUCAUAGUGUACCAACCUUAAAAUCACUCGUUUCUCAUCCCUAUCUCAGUGUAAAGCUCAAGUCCCGAGCACAAGAGGUGACAAUUCUGCAGGAGAAGAGUGCCAUCUGCAGGAAGACCGUAUAAGAGCUGGCAAAGCCUCAGAGUUAACAAAAAUGAGACAAUUCAUUAGUGGAGAUUCCAUACUCAGCAAAUUGUCUGGCAUACAGUAAACUCAAUAAAUUAUUUUUGUUAUUUGAAUGGUAGUAAUGA
rnacentral:lncRNA from 13 species